CAGAGGGUGCGAGCGUUAAUCGGAAUUACUGGGCGUAAAGCGUGCGUAGACGGUUAUUUAAGUCGGGUGUGAAAGCCCCGGGCUCAACCUGGGAAUUGCAUUCGAGACUGAAUAGCUAGGGUACGGUAGAGGGAAGUGGAAUUUCCGGUGUAGCGGUGAAAUGCGUAGAUAUCGGGAGGAACAUCAGUGGCGAAAGCGACUUCCUGGACCAGUACCGACGUUCAGGCACGAAAGCGUGGGGAGCAAACAGGAGUAGAUACCCUGGUAGUCCACGCCAUAAACGAUGAGGACUAGACGUUGGAGGGGUAAGCCUUUCAGUGUCGUAGCUAACGCGCUAAGUCCUCCGCCUGGGGAGUACGGCCGCAAGGUUG
rnacentral:rRNA from 1 species